UUGUCCUCGUCAGUUUUUUCUGAAAACUCAGCGAAUUGACAUGUAUCAUUUACAAGUCCCAGUAUGCUUGUUUGGCAUAUCGGACAAUUGUCAUUUGCAGGUACACACUUAGUGCAUGCAACAAAUGUACACAUGGAAGGUGAAUCACAUCAGCAACGCAUUCAAGACAAAUCUUACAAUAUUUUGUUUAGUUUUUAGAUUAUUUAAAUGUGAAAAAAAAAUCAAAUAAAGACAAAAUAUUUUUAAUUAACAGUAAAAAAUCUUCAAAAUUUGGAUAAAAGUCCCAUAACGUACCAUGAUAAUAACUAUGUUGUCCGUAAAAGCUUUAUAAAAGUGUGUAUUAAUUAUACCUUAAUUCAGUUCAAAUAAUUAUGGCCUUUAAGGAUUUGUGUUUUCAUAAUAUAGAUUUCAUGUUAUAUUGAGCUUUGUCAAUUUGUGUUGAUGUUUUGUUUUAAGUAGAAUUACUACUUCUAUUUCCUAACUUUUGUCUCAUUUGUCAAAUUGAAUUGUUACAUAUUUAAGUGAAAAAAUGCACACACUAUUUUUAAAGAUGCACUCUUACUCCCCAAUAAGACUUAUGAUAAUUAAUAUUAUUGUUUUCAUUUUUCAAAAUGGGUUGAUAGAUGUCAACAACAAUGUUUCUAAUGAAGGAUCUUGAGUUCAAUUUGCUAAUAAGAAUGAACUUAAAACAUGGUAUUUCUGCCUUGUGAUACUAUAGUAGACCACAGUAAAUCUUUUAGCAAUCACCUAUUGAUCAUUUAAUAUUUGUCAUGCAUUCUGCUAUUAUAAACAGGGUGACAAGCUUGUUAUCAGUAAACGAUAUUUCAGUAAAUGCAUUAUUUAGUAAGUAGUUAUUGUUUUUUCAUUCAAUUUGAUGUAUGUUAUAUAUAUAUACAAUUAUAUGUAUUGAUUUCAAAUAAGAGUUUCACUUUAAAGAUGCUCAUUUAAAGAUAAUGAACAGACACACAAAAACUAGACACAUUUGAUACUAAUUAUACGAAUGAUUAUUGUUUUAUAUAUAGGUGACCUCUGAUUUGUUUUGGAGAUAUUCAUAAAUGGGUGUUAUUCUUUAUUGUCUUCAGUUUCUUAUACAUUUAAGGAUUUUUAUAAUUGCUUUUCUGGUAUAUAUUACAAUGUAAUUUAAUGUAAAUGAAAACACACUUUAAACUGGACACAUUUGAUACUAAUGAUAUAAAUGAUUAUUGUUUACAUGUACUCUGAUUUGUUAUGAAGAUAUUCAUAAAGGGGUGUUCUUCAUGUUAUUAUACAUUUUGGACUUGAUUUAGUAUUGCUUUUCUGGUAUAUAUUCAUUUAAUGCACAAAGAAAUUAUUUUAAGUGUUCAGUAUCACUUUCACACAUUGUAUACUAUUAUUUUUUUUGCAUAUUUGGCCUAUUCAUGCUUAUAUGUGCAUUGUUGUAUAUUAAAACCUUUGUGAAAAAUAGAAACAGUAUUAUUUCCUUCAUACAUAUUCAGUUUGAAUGCGUUAUUUUUAUCAUAUUUGAAAAAAAUGCCAUUGUCCAAUAAGACACAUGCUGUUAUUGUGUUAAUAUCAACUAAAACAUCCAUUUUCUACUCUAUUUUACUAUGUAGAUGAAGAAGUUAACAUUAGUAUUAUUAAACAGCUAAAAACAAGGCAUGUUAUGUUAUAAAUGCAUUUCAUCUAGUAAACAAUGUUCACUUUUUAUAUAACAGUUCAAUAAUUAUGUUCUAUUUAUGUUUGCAACUUUACAGUUCAAUAAUUAUGUUCUAUUUAUGUUUGCAACUUUCGGACGUAAUGAUAAUAUUUAUUAAAGUACUACACAAAUUGUUAAAUUGUUAUUUCAUAUCACUUCUUCAUGAUGAAUGAGGUAACUUAUUCUUCCCUACAAGUUGUCAUUCCAGCAUGGUGACGUUGCCCCCUCCCCCUAUAUGAUUAGAACUGCAGUGUACAUGAACAAUAACUCUAUUUCAGCGUAUUGCAAGAGUUAUUCUCUUUGUAUCUUUUCCUGUCCGGAGCAUAACUAGAAAACUACUUUUUUUGGAAUUUCAUUUAACAUCAUUCAAUGGUAUUUAGCACAACGAGAGGAAGUGCAGUGCACAAUGACUAUAGCUGUUUUUAAGCUAAUUACAUAAUUAUUGCCCUUUGCCGCUUUUUCUUGACCAGAGCAUUACUUUAAAACUACGUAUGGUAUUGAAAUAAAACUUGGUAUAUGGGUAUGUGGCAAUGACAAAAAGUACAGUGCACAAGCACCCUAAUUCUGUCUUGUUCAUUAAUGUACCCCACCCCUAAUGAAAUGUUCAACUUGAAAAUCUUGAAUUUCAAUGCUUUUGCCUAUGUUGUCAUGCAGAAAACUACAAACAUUUUGAGAAUUUCAUAGAUGCGGUUCAAUGCACCAUAAUAUGCUUGUUGGCCUUGACAUUCCUUGUUUUUCAACAUUUAACAAGUGCAUAAACUAUUAAACGGCGCCCUUUGAUGCUUUGCAUCAAUGGUCUUUCUUGUUCCUUUAGGAAUGGCUGGAAACAAUCAAUGGAAGGGUAUUAACGCAAAAAUUACAUCUUGCUUUCUUACGUUACAUCGUGCUUUCUGAAUUGUACAUCUUGGAUUCUUACUUUUACAUUUUGCAUUAUGCACACAAUGCAUUCUGGCUUGCACAUCUUGCAUUAUGACUUGCACAUUUUGCUUUAAAUUGCAUGAAUCGUUCGUUAUUUGACUAUCUUCAAAUUUGUCUACGUUAAAGUUAUAUGUUUGAUGCUAAAAUCAGUUCAGUUUAAUUAUAAUGAUCGUAAACUGUCUACAUUUAAUGUGUACAAAAAUAGGAAACCUAUGUUAAUCGAUUAUACAUGUAUAAAUAAUACAUGGAAGCACGCACUUUGUGAAAUACAACUAGGCAGGUUGCAAACUACACUCUUUUUUACGACAGAGGGCGCAAGUUCGGAAACAUGUACGGAACCAUACGGAAAUUACCGAAAAUAUACGAGUAUCCGGAAUAUCAAUCACAAUAGUUAUGUCCCUUAUUUGCAAUUUAGCCAUAAUCUUAUUUGUUACGGUUGAUGUCAUGUGGUUGAUUUUUUUAUCAUCUGAUCAUUUGUUAUAAAUAAACAACAUCUGCUAUUCAUAUACACCAAAAGGCAGUUGCAGAUUCAUUCUUUUUUGGCGGAACACUGUCCACACCAUGGAUUGAUAUUUACGAUGGAGUUGAGACACAGGUGGUGAUUAACACUGGACAUGUUCUUCAGGCUCUCAUAGGAUGUGAAACACUUCCACGAAAUAUAGAAUGUUGAUUGGUUGAAUUUAGCCACACAUCAAAUAAUUUAACAACUGUCAACACAUGUGCUCCUUCAAUUAUGUUCUCACAGACUGCUCGUAUUCAGGAGUACGAGACUUUUGAAAAGCACUUUUUGAGCCUUAUUGUUGAUGCUGUUGGUUUUGGAAUUGCGUAAUGUUGUAUGACCAAAGUAAAGAGAUCUUUAAAGAAUAGAACAAAGUUCAUUUGCUAGCCAUGUUUUUACCAUACUAUGUCACUUUGCUAAAGAUGGCUAGAUUUGAACAGAUUUUGUAAAAAUGUUCCUUAGAUUACCACCCCAAGAUUGCUCAAAUGAUUUUGAUUGCUCAUUGGGAGGGGCCCCAUUUUUAUGCUUUUUAAAGGAGGGCAGCAUAUAGUCGCCGCUUUGUACCUUUGCAUGUCUGUCUGCCCGUCUGUCACACCCUUUUCGAGUAAAUAACUUCGAAACUAGGUAUGGGAUUAAAAUGAAACUUGAUAUAUAGGUAGAUGACAAUGUGAGUAAGUGCACUGCACAAGAAUCAUGCAAAUUUAUAAAGUUGGUGCUUGUUGAGGCCAUACUUUUUUCAACUUGUGUAUAAUGCUGCUACAACAAUUCAUCUGAUACCAAGUGCAUUGUAUUACAAUGUGUGCCGUAUCAUAGAACAUUUCUGUUUGGGAGGCAUCCAUCGCUUUUAGCGAUACUCUUGUUUAUUAUAUGUAAACUGUAGAAAUUAUUUCCAUAUAGACUGGACCACAUCUUUUAUACAUUCGAAGACGCUUUACCUAGCUGAGAAAUAAUCAAGAAAUAGAUUGCAAUGAUCUAUCUAUAGCAUUAUUUUGAAUAUGUGGCAAAUUGUUUAUUGUGAGUGCCUCAGUUUUCUAGAGACAGUUGUUGUUAAGAUGAUGUUUUCUCUUGUAUCUAUACCAAGUUGUAAUCAAAGACCUUUCAUGGCAUAUUUUUUAAAAAAAUCCAUCAUCAAUAUGGCACAUGUAGAACUGCCAUUUUAUAAAUUAUACAUUUAGAACAAAAACUGAUUUUUCAAAUUACCACUGAUAGGUCAAUAUUUUACCAUAUGGACUGUAAUUUGUGUGACAGCCAUGAAUUUUCACAAAUAAAGACAUAAUUUUUGGACUUCACCUAUGACCUUUAAGUAAGGUCAAUACAAUAAAAUUGAGGUUUUCUUUUUUGCCUAAUCCCUUUGUAAACAUAUUUUAAGAAUUAUUCUAGAAUGAAUAAUGCUAACAGAGUAUUUUUCUGCUCUCAUGGAGCAAUAUGAAACAGUGUCUUUCAGAUUGCAUUGUUCUAUGAUAUAUUAAAUCUUGUAUUUCAUAAAAACAAUAUUUGUAUAAAUACAUCCUUAUCCUGUAUUUAUAUGUUAUUACAAUCUAUGUUUUCUUGAACAAUGAUGCAAAUAAAUGAUAUCAUGGGUCAUGUAAUACAGAACUGUUAUGCACAAUAUACAUUUUAUACAUAAUGCAGAAAACAAAUCUUAUCUGAGACAUUAUGGAUAUGGAUUAGGCUUCUCUCAGCCGUGCUCUUGUUCAUGAAACAUCAUUGUCAGCAAGUGCACUACACAAUUUACUUUUAAUAUAAAAAAACAACACAUACAUGUACUUAUUGUUUUUAUAACUACAUACAAAACAUUGCAUAUAGCCCUCCUUCACUGACAAGGCACAUAAUUCAAGUGAUAAACAUUUGUAUCCAUUAUCUAAUGAAACAGUUUCACUUUCGCCACAGAUGUGGCUGUAUUUAAGCAUAUCUUGUUGUUUGUAAUCACCAAGAUGAUACUGCUUGAUCUGAAUUACGUGGCUUUUGACAAGGCACAACUUAACAUUUAUGAUAUUUAAAAACUCAUCAUGUUUGUAAUAAAUCUUAAACCAUG